AUACACUGAGGACUCCAAAGGCCACUCAGGAUGACAGGAAAUGCAGGCUCCAAAAGAUUUGGUUCCUUUGUGAGGCCCUCGGGCAGUGGUCAGACACGAAGGAAAUAGGAAAUCACCCCCAAACCACACCUCUCCCUACGAGGCCACAGCUGCCGAUGCAGCCUUGGGAGGGGGAUGGAGGGAGAGAGGAGGGCAUCUGAAUGUGGACACACCCUGCUGUGAGGGCUGUGGGCGGUCCUCAGACUGGAACCAGCCCCCAGGCUCAGCUCAGCUCAGGGACCUCGUGCCCGGGCUUUCCUGGGGAGGAAGGUGUUGGAUCUCCUGCCUCUCUGUAUUCAUUCACACUUUGGGUUUCUCUCUCUUCCGCGCAUUCUAACAUCUGCAGGACUUUUUUUUUUUUUUUUGAGACAGAGUCUCGCUCUGUCGCCCAGGCUGGAGUGGAGUGGCGCGAUCUCAGCUCGCUGCAAGCUCCGCCUCCUGGGUUCACGCCAUUCUCGUGCCUCAGCCUCCAGAGUAACAGGGACCACAGGCGCCCGCCACCACGCCCAGGCCCUGGUGUGUGAUGUUGCCCGCACUGUGUCCAAGUGUUCUCAUUGUUCAAUUCCCACCUGUGCCAACUCCUGAGAUCUUAUCGGGAAGUGGCUCAUCACCAGCUUUAGGUGUUUUCUAUCUAUUGGGAGCCUGCCUUUCUCUGGCACCAGCUGCAACCAAUAAUUAUUUUAGACAGUUUAACAACCGCUUGGCCAUCACCUGAUGAUCGCCUGACAUUUCUGUUGGGGCGCGGGCCCAUCUCCUGCCCUGCUCAUGUGGGGCUCAGUCUGCCCAACCUUUCCCCAAGGGCCUGUCUUUACUUCAUUUGUGGUAAGACCCAAGCAGAAUGGACUCUUGUUAUGAUCCCAGGAACUGCUCACGGCCACCUCUGUGGAUGAACACCUAGCGGCUGCUCUAAAUACAUGCUGUGAAAGUUGUCAGAAUCAAAAUGGAGUCACUAAUGUUAAGAAAGCCCUGACAAAGAGUGGUGGGGAAGGCCAUGAAGAGAGGACACUUAUGCUUGCGUGCCUGAUACCAGAAAGGACUACAAAAACCACAACCCGGCACAGAGGCCAUCACACCCUUACACAAAAAAUAUUUCUGCAGGGACAACUGCCCAGCAAUUGCCUGUCCAACCUCAGACUGGAAUGACCUUUGUUAUUGAUGUUUGUAGCCAAGGAGAAUUAUCUCAAAACCAUUGUGAUCCUGCUCAUUUUUCCUUUAAAGACCUUUGUCUUCCUUGACCUCCCUGAAUAGGCAUAUGGUUUACUAUGGCGUGUGUACUCUCCUUGUAAUGUUCUGUUCUCAAGCUAGUAUCUGUUCUUCUAGAGAACCUCUCUCUUAGGCUGACAACGCUGUGGAUCUGGGCUCCCAGGAACUGGGGCUGACAUCAGAGGGGUGGAAAGAGAACAGCAGCUCUCCCUGAGGGGAUGCUUGCCAAGGAUAAGGAGAUGAUGGUUCUCUAAGGAUUAUUUUAUAUUCAUCUAAAAGGGUAUUUUUGUUGUUACCCCUAGCCUUUUUUCCCUUUUAAUUUUCUGAUGAAUAAUUUAUAUAAAGAAAACCCAUUCUAAGUGUGCAA